CUAACACCAGCCUGGCUGUAAUCUGAGCAUCAGCUUCUGGCAACUGCCUUGGUGAUGCUGUGGGCAUGCCAAAGCAGGCACAAAAAUUGGCAGUUCCCUGUGUCACACAGGCACUGGCAACAUGGUGGACAUAGGAAGAUCAUAAGAACAGCACCACCCGUCUGCCAGCUGAGGCCACAUGUGAGCAGAAUAUUGUGUAGGGGCUGAGGCCAAGAGGCCCAGAGGUGGAUAUAACCAGACCAUUGAACGUUCCUGUCCUCUCCUGCUCAUCUGAAGAGAUGUUCUGCCUUCUACAAGCACACUGAUACAAAGAUAAGUAAUCAAAAUAACAUGCGCCGGCUGUAAUUUGGUUGUCAACUUCUGGCAACUUUCUUGGUGAUGCCGUGGGCAUGCCAAAGCAGGCAUAAGCCUGGCAGUACCAUGUGUCACAUAGGCAUUGGCAACAUGGCAUGCAUUGGGAGAUCAUAGAAGGAGCUGCACAUCUCUGCCAGACCAAGCAAGAGGAGAGAAGGAUGGUUAGCAUAUGCAGUGGUGAGAGGACAGGACAGCGGACAUAGAAGGGAAGGUUUGCGCCUGGGCAAUGAGGCAGGAGUGGUUGUGAUGCAACAGACUGUGUGUCCCCCUCCUUUGUCUUGGAGGGACAGAGGCCCAGAGGAGAGCAUGACCAGACCGUGGAACCCUUCAGUCUUCUGCUGCUCCACCUUUCACAGGGACAUCAAUACAAUGAUAAGUAAUCAAACUAACACCAGCUUGGCUGUACUUUUGGCGAUCAGCUUCUGUCUGCGGCCUUGGUGAUGGGGUGUGCAUGUCACAGCAGGCACAACAUUGGCAGUUCCCUGUGUCACACAAGCACUGGCAACAUGGCAUUGGAAGACCAUAGAAAAAGCUGCAUCCCUCUGCCAGCCCAGGACAGAGGAGAGCAGGAUGGUUAGCAGAGGCACAGGGCCAGAGGCCAUGGAACCUUCCUGUCCACUUCUUCUCCCUGGAACAGUGAUACAAGCAUAAAGGUCCACAGGAGAACUUCCCCAGACUGUGGAACCCUCCUGUCCUCUGCUGCUCAGCUGUAGAGUUGUUCCAUUUUCUACAAGGACAUCAGUACAAAGGUAAGUAAUCAAA
rnacentral:lncRNA from 1 species